rnacentral:rRNA from 1 species
GUACAUAAUUUUAGUUUAUAUUCAUUUUUUAUACUUAAUAAAAGAUAAAUUACUUUUAAGUCCUUCUUUAUACACUUUUUCAAUAUGUAUUUUGCUACAAUAUUGUAACUCGCCUAAACUUCUUGAUAGUCUGCACCUUGAUCUGUAAUAUUAGGUGUUAUAUUCCUAAUUUGACAAUAUAUUAUAUAUUGUCAGGUUACGACGGCAUACAAAAUAUUACAUAAGAAAGAAGUGGGAUACCUUGGUGGUUAUCAUUUAUUUGGUAAGUUCCCCUAAUUUUUAAAAUUACCGUCAUGCUAUUUGAGUUUUAAUCAACCAAGAUUUUAGUACUCAGUAUAUUUUAGUGGGUAUUGUAUAAAAGGGUAUCUAAUCCUUGUUUAUGAUCAAUAUUUUAUAUAUUUUUAGAUUAUAUAAAGAUUAUUGUGCUAUUAUUUCACCAAUUUUUACAUUAUAAGCUAUUUAUACUAUAUAUUGUUUAUUACUAUAAAAGUUUGACCGCGACUGCUGGCACUUUAUAAGUCAUAGUAUUUAAUAUUGGUUUAUUCUUACUUUCAUAAAUUUUUAAAUUUUCUUUCCUGGUUAGAUCUUUUAAGUACCAUAAGUAAUCCAAUUUUUUAUAAACAGUUCAUCAU